AUGGCCUGUCAGCCUUUUGCCUAAGAUCAAUUGGAGUAUCUCUUCUUAUCAGUUUAAUAUCUGUUAUGUCCUCUAUCCAAGGACAAUAUAUUAAAUGGAUUUUUGGAGCAGGGAGAUAGAAUAGGCUCUUGCUCCAUUAACUUCACACAUCGACCUGGUAUUGCAAAUACCUCCAGAAAUAGUGUACCCCUA
ensembl:snRNA U2 U2 spliceosomal RNA